UUUUUUUUGAAUCUCAUUUUCUUUUCUUUUCCGACUCUCUCUCUUUGCUCCCUCGACGAACCGAUGAAUCUCUUCUGAUUCUUCAGUUUUCCUAGAUUUUAAUCGAUUCACCGUUUUUCCGGCAUAAAGACGUUUGCUCGUAGAACGAUCUCUGUUCGGUUCUGGUUCCAAUCGUUAUUAAUCUCGAUCCGACGUUUCGGAUCCGACGACAAUCGAUCUCCGAUUGCGAUACGAGCAUGGAUGGUUUAUCUGAUGGACUUACGGGGACGGCGAGGUGAAUCGGCAAGUAUGAAGAUCCAGUCCGUCAAGAAGCUGCUCCAAAGACCUCGAGGAGAAAGCAUUGGUCUCUCUAGCCAAGGUUAUGGAAGAGUGUAAAGGAAUUGAUCUACAAGAGAGGUUAUGGAAAGCUAAACCACCACAGGAUAGCUUUAACUGACAACUCUAUCGUAGAGCAGAAGCAAUAGAUGAGAAUGUGUGAUUAGAGGAUCUGUAAGCGGUGGAGCUGAGCAAGUUUAUUGGGGGGUUCAUAUAAGGGGAGUUCUUAAUUUUUUUAUGAAUUAAUUGUGUACUGUUUGGAAUAUAAGAACCUAUGAUCUCUUAG